UGUCUCAGAGCUGGGAAGUGUUUUGCGACUUGCUCCUCUGUGUGUUCACCAUCUCUGGAGCCCCACCAGGAGCUCUGGGUGCAGGUGGAUGGCUCUGGAUGCAAGUGGAUGGCUCCAAAUGCAGGUGGAUGGCUCCAGGUGCAGGUGGAUGGCUCUGGAUGAGUGUGGAUGGCUCUGGAUGCAGGUGGAUGGCUCUGAAUGCAGGUGGAUGGCUCUGGAUGAGUGUGGAUGGCUCUGGAUGAGUGUGGAUGGCUCUGGGUGCAGGUGGAUGGCUCUGGAUGUGUGUGGAUGGCUCUGGAUGUGUGUGGAUGGCUCUGGGUGCAGGUGGAUGGCUCUGGGUGCAGGUGGAUGGCUCUGGAUGCAGGUGGAUGGCUCUGAAUGCAGGUGGAUGGCUCUGGAUGUGUGUGGAUGGCUCUGGAUGCAGGUGGAUGGCUCCAGGUGCAGGUGGAUGGCUCUGAAUGCAGGUGGAUGGCUCUGGAUGCAGAAUGGAUGGCUCUGGAUGAGUGUGGAUGGCUCUGGAUGCAGGAGGAUGGCUCUGAAUGCAGGUGGAUGGCUCUGGAUGCAGGUGGAUGGCUCUGGAUGCAGGUGGAUGGCUCUGGAUGCAGGUGGAUGGCUCUGGGUGCAGGUGGCUCCAGGUGAAGGACCCCCAUGCCACAGGUUUUCCUGCCAGCUCCAGUCACUGUCCCUCUCUCCAACAUCUGCCACGGGGUGAUGUCACGGCCACGGUCCCUUUGCUGUGUGUGUUCAGCUUUCAGGGAUGUUUUUCUUC